UAAGUGAAAGCAAAUAUAUUGCAUUUAGUUGUUAAUUAAAAGAAAGAAUGAUUUCUCACUUAG
rnacentral:tRNA from 1 species